ACACGCGGCUUUCUCGGCAGAUCGAAUUAUUCUUUCGCCUUUUACUAAAGAAUACCGUGUCGGGGAUGCAUAUUUGCGUCUUUUGAUCGAAUUUUUUGCGGCCACUCUUUAUGAGUGGCU
rnacentral:snRNA from 14 species